AGUGAACGCUGGCGGUAGGCCUAACACAUGCAAGUCGAACGGCAGCACAGGCGAGCUUGCUCUCUGGGUGGCGAGUGGCGGACGGGUGAGGAAUACAUCGGAAUCUACCUUUUCGUGGGGGAUAACGUAGGGAAACUUACGCUAAUACCGCAUACGCCCUACGGGUGAAAGUGGGGGACCGCAAGGCCUCACGCGAUUAGAUGAGCCGAUGUCCGAUUAGCUAGUUGGUGGGGUAAUGGCCCACCAAAGCGACGAUCGGUAGCUUGUCUGAGAGGAUGAUCAGCCACACUGGGACUGAGACACGGUCCAGACUCCUACGGGAGGCAGCAGUGGGGAAUAUUGGACAAUGGGCGCUAGCCUGAUCCAGCCAUACCGCGUGGGUGAAGAAGGCCUUCGGGUUGUAAAGCCCUUUUGUUGGGAAAGAAAUCCUGUCGAUUAAUACUCGGUGGGGAUGACGGUACCCAAAGAAUAAGCACCGGCUAACUUCGUGCCAGCCGCCGCGGUAACAC
rnacentral:rRNA from 1 species